rnacentral:rRNA from 1 species
AUUAUGGAGAGUUUGAUCCUGGCUCAGGACGAACGCUGGCGGCGUGCCUAAUACAUGCAAGUCGAACGAAUCUAGAAGUUAGCUUGCUAACUUUUAGGUUAGUGGCGGACGGGUGAGUAACACGU